GACCCUACGGGACGCAGCAGUAGGGAAUCUUCCACAACGGGCGAAAGCCUGAUGGAGCAACGCCGCGUGGGUGAAGAAGGUCUUCGGAUUGUAAAACCCUGUUGUUAGAGAAGAAAGUGCGUGAGAGUAACUGUUCACGUUUCGACGGUAUCUAACCAGAAAGCCACGGCUAACUACGUGCCAGCAGCCGCGGUAAUACGUAGGUGGCAAGCGUUAUCCGGAUUUAUUGGGCGUAAAGGGAACGCAGGCGGCCUUUUAAGACUGAUGUGAAAGCCUUGGGCUUAACCGGAGUAUAGCAUUGGAAA
rnacentral:rRNA from 1 species